AAGAGAAGGUAUUGUAUGCAACAACUAUCGGUGCCUGUUCAUAGAACCUAAAGAACAUUUGGGCUCAGUCAGGAAACCUAGGCGAAAACAGGAGAAUCUAGAACAGAGUCUGCAAUUAUAUCUACACAUUACAGAAGCUGAGAAAGAGUAAAAGGACUAUAACAUUGCAGUGAUGUUACUGUACAUUACAUGGGAGAAAAACCUUUUGAAAUAGCAAACAAUCCCCUUAAUAUCCAAGCCAAGCGUCUCAAAUUCAAAGUAUUACAACUGCUACACAAGGACUAGUUUGUUAGCAUGAGGUUGCAACACUAAAGCUUUUUCAUAUAUGGAUACAAAAGUCGGCAGUGAGUUUAACAUGAAGGGAUCACGCUGAACCAUUAAACAUCCAUUUAUUAAAAACAUGAUACAUAAAGCCCUUUGCUGUGAAGUAGAGAUCCUUGUAAAAGUGCCAUUUCAUUUUAGCCACUCAGCUGGCAGCAUUUUUCAUUAAUCAAAAGUGAUAUUUGGUUUUACAGAAUUACCAGGCUGAUAUGUAAUGUUGUUUCAAAAUCAUAUUUAGGUUGAUGUAAUCUAGGAAAACAUCCUGCCAAGAGCUAUCCAAAUCCUGUUUUUCAUUUUCUUCCCUGGCCUUGCUAAGGAGAUAAAGUUUUCUUCUUUUCAAACUUUUCCUUGCUUGCUUUCCCUUCUAAAGGAGAAUUUUGGGGUUAAGCUACACGAUCCUAAUCCAAAUACAUCUUUCCAGAGAAAAGGAAACACCAGCUCAACCAUCUGGCAUCAAAUUAGGCACCUUCCCAUCAUCAAAUAUUCUUCUCAGGAAACGAAAUUGUCAACUUGGCCAUAAAACAUUACAAACAUUUACAGAGCCAACAAAAGCUGGAAUUGAUAACAGGGGAACACAGACUCUGGGAACAAGGGAUACUUUGACGAAUCCCACUGUAUAACAGCAACUCUAAAAAGAAACUUUAUUCACGCAAUAUUGCCUUGUUCGUCCAAAGCUCCCACUGUCUUUGUAUUCCUAUUCCACUACCUAGAAAUAAAAGUCAAGGAAUAUA